GAGCGGCGGCGGCGGCAGCGGGUCUUGAGUCCUCCGCGAGCAGCAGCGAUUUUCUAUUUUGUACAUACAUUAUUUUGUAUAUACUGUAUAUGAUGACUUCAGUGAGCAGUGACCAUUGUCGAGGUGCUCGGGAAAAACCACAGAUUUCAGCAGCACAAUCAAUGCAACCACAGAAACAAGUGGUACAGGCAACAGCUGAACAGAUGCGUCUCGCUCAAGUGAUCUUUGAUAAGAAUGAUUCAGAUUUUGAAGCUAAAGUUAAGCAGGUAUGUUUCUGGCAAAGGAUAUCAUCAUUUUUAUAAUCUAUUUUGAUUGUGCUUAAAAAGAUAAUUUCAGUAAAGAUUUUUGUUUUAAAGUAUUACUUCUAGCUUCUAGUCUCACCUGAAAUCUGUAUAUUGGAUUUUGGACUUGUGAUUAAAAAUACCUUUAUUGGUGGGCAAGUGAAGGAAUUGAAUACAUUCACCUACCUUACAAUAUAAUCUUUCUGAGUUACUAGUGUUUACAUGUGAACAUUGAACCAGACGUUUCUGUAAGCACACUGAGGUUUUCCGAUACGUGUGCAUAGAAAGUAUAUCUAACAUUUGGCACAGUCUCUGGGAAUUGUGUUUAAUGUUAGAGAUGAACUGAAUAAAAAAAUUUUUUUUCAUAGAGACAUGGUGUCACUCUGUUGCCCAGGCUGGAGUGCAGUGGUGCUGUCAUAGUUCACUGCAGCCUCAAACUCCUAGGCUCACACUAUCCUGCUGCCUCGGUCUCCUGAGUAGCUAUGACGACAGAUGUUCAUCACCAUGCCCAGCUAAUUUUUAAAAUAUUUGUAGAGACAGAGUCCUGCAGUGUUGCCUAGGCUAGUCUUGAAUUCCUGGGCUCAAGCAAUCUGCCUUGGCCUCCCAGAGUGCUGGGAUUACAGGAUUACUGGCCUGAAUUGCCAUUUCAAACAUGGUUGUGAUUUCAUACUCUUGUUGGAAAAGUAUAAAAUUAAAUUUUAAGGCAAUGUCUUCAUUUUGAACUUUAAUAAGAGGUAUUUUUGAUAACUUAGUCUUAAUUUCUAACUCUUCUUUGCUGACCCUUUCUCAUCAAGAUUCUAGAAACCAAGCUGUAACUGCUACCUCAGUGCCAGAUAUUCCAACUCUUGGUAGAUGUCAUCUAAUAAUUGUUCUUUGGAGUAAAAGUCUCACAAUGAAAUCUUGUUUUGUCUCACAAGAAAUCAUAGAUUUCUUUCUCUGGAAUGAGAUCUUCAUACAGUUUGAGAUAUACUUCUGUAUAUUACAUUGCCUUUUAUCUGAAUAGUAUAGAUAGAACACUGGCCCAGGAGUUCAGAGAUUUAAGUUCUAAUUUUAGUUCUGUCUGUCAAUAAUCUGAUCACUGGGGACAUUUUGAUGUUGACUGUGUGUCUUAAAAAUUGUAUGUUGCAGGCAUUCACUUAGUACAGAUCAUUGAUAAAAAUGAGACAUUUAUUAGUAGCUAUCCAAAGACUGAAGCAUCAGAAAGCUAUAGAGUAUGCAGAACUUUUGCUGCUUGAUAAAAUGAAAAGAUGAAAGCAGGGAGGCCAAAUGGUAUAGUGCAGAGAGCUGUGAUUAUGAGAUCAGGAGGCCUGGGUUCUAGAUGGGCUUUGCUAUUAAUUACCUUUGUGACCAUAGACGAAUCACUUGAUAUGUUGGGAUCAAGCUGUUUUGAACUUCAGCUAGUACAUGUUAAAAUAGUUAAAUGUAGUUAAAAUGCAAUAGAUAUUAAAUCAUAGGUUUAUUCACUGAUACUUGAGAAACCUGCAUUUUGCCUAGUCUGUGAUCAUUCUAGUGAUGAAAAUGCUAAGUAACAAGUAUCUCUUGCUAAUGAGAAUAAACUGAAGAGUUUCUUUCAUCAUUACUUCAAGCAUAGCACCAUGUUGAAGAUCCUUGAGAAAAUAUGUCUAGGAGUGUGUUUUGUGAUAGUAGCAGAAUUCCACUUGUAAGACUUUAGGGUGUUAUAUAACUUAGUAUGUACAUGGAAUGAUGUUUUUUCUUCUUUUUUUUGAGGGGGGAGACAGGGUCUUGCUCUGUCUCCUGUGCUAGAGUGCAGUGGCACAAUCAUGGCUUAUUGCAACCUUCACCUCCAGGGCUGAAGCAAUCCUCCUACCACUACGCUCGGUUAAUUUUUUGUAAAGAUGAGGUCUCACUAUAUUGUCCAGUCUCGAACUCCUGGGCUCAAGCGAUCCUCUCGUCUCUGCCUCCCAAAGUGUUGAUUAUAGUUGUGAGCCACUGCGGCUGGCCUUUGAAGUGUUCUAAUCCAAAUGGUGAAAGCCAGCAUAUGGAAUAGUGUCCCUGACAAAAAAUUUGUAUUGGAUUUUCCAUGAAUGAUGACCGUGUACUCAUAUAGUUCCACCUCAUAUUUAAGUUUAGGAAUCCUGUGUGCUUGAAUUAAAUUUGAUUAUUCAGAUACUUGAUCUUGGGUAUUCUGAGAAUGUUGGUACGUAUGUGUGUGCUGCUGAUUAAUGAUCUGCUCCUUGGUCAACUUGGAGGAAGAUUGAUUUGUAGUUAGAUUCUACCAGUGUUAGUGAAAAGACAUGCAUGGAAUGGCCACAAAAAAAUAAGUAAACAUGUCCUCAUUGUAAACUCAAGAGUCUAGAAGAGGCCAUCUUCAUGUAGAAGGAUUAUGUAAUUCUGUAUUUGUAUAGAAGAAUCUUAAUAUCAAGUGCCAGUUUUUUGUUUGCCUCUAACCAUUUUCUGAUAUGUUCACUAGCUUAUGGAAGUGACAGGGAAAAAUCAGGAUGAAUGCAUAGUGGCCCUACAUGAUUGUAAUGGAGAUGUGAACAAAGCUAUCAAUAUAUUGCUGGAAGGGAAUUCAGACACAGUAAGUAUUAUUAAUUGAUUUGCAUCGUUUACAUUUGUCUCCAAUUCCGUAGCACAUUUUCAACUUCACCUUGGUUGGGGGUAGGGAUGGAAUGGAUUAUGGUGCCAUUCCAUAUUUGCUUUAAGUUCCUGAAAGAACGAUUACCUGAAAAGACUGUUUUUGUUAUGUAUGGUUUCUUCGUGAAGUCGUAGAAUCUGAUGACUUGAAAGAGAACUUGGUGAUCUACUCCAGCCUUACAGUUUCCAAAAAUCUCUGUGCCUGUGUAUAUUUUCACCACCCCCACCUGAAAAGCAUCUCUUGGCUCUGUUGCUUAUGUUUCUUCAUCUCAGUCCUCACGUCUGAUUACUUCUUACAUUUCUAUUAUAACAGAAAACCAGGAUUUGCUGGUAUAUGUAUUUGCUUAUGUGGAAUAUCAAGUUUUCUUUUUUUUUUUAAUAUUGGGUUAAGUUUGGUGAGCUUGCAGGCUCAUGAGCUCAGGCCUUGGAUUUUAAGAAGGAUACAGCUAAAGCUACACCAGGCACUUGUCAGCCCUAAAAUUUUGCUGUGUGUAUAUAUUUAUAUUUAUAUAUUAUAGUUUUUAUACAUAUGUAUAUAUUUAUUUAAUAAUUUUAAAUUUUAAAUAAUUAAAUUAUUUAAUAAUAUAUUUAUUUAAUAAUAUAUUUAAUAAUAUAAAUAUAUUUAUAUAUUUAAUAUAUAAAUAUAUUUAAUAAUAUAAAUACAUUUAUAUAUUUAAUAAUAUAAAUAUAUUUAUAUAUUUAAUAUAUAAAUAUAUAUUCUAUAUAGUAUUUAUAAUAUUUGUUUAAUAAUAUAUAAAUAUAUAUUUAUAUAUAUAUUUAUUUUUUUGAGACGGGGCCACCCAGGCUGGAGUGCAGUAGUGCGAUCUUGACUCACUGCAACCUCCGUCUCCUGGGUUCAAGUGAUUCUUUUGCCUCAGCCUCCCAAGUAGCUAGUACUACAGGCAUGCGCCACCACGACCAGCUAAUUUUUGUAUUUUUAGUAGAGGUGGGGUUUCGCCAUGUUGGCCAGACUGGUCUCAAACUCCUGACCUCAGGUGAUCCACCCGUCUUGGCCUCCCAAAGUGUUGGGAUUACAAAUGUGAGCCACCACACCUGACCUGUGUUUAUGUUUCUUAAAUUGAGGAAACUAUUUUAGAGUAGAUUAAAAAAAAAAUGACUCACCUAAAAGAGGAUACAAAGAUGAACACAUCAAUAACUACCUUCCCUUGGAAAAUUUAAAACAAACUGACCGUGUCAGUGUUCAGAUUUAAUUGAAGUCUCAUUUUAGGGUCAUGCUGCAUUAGGUACAAGAAAUACAAAAAUGAACUCUGAGAAACUGAAAGCUAAAAUGACUGUGUUUUUAGUUGAUGUGAAACAAAGAGAAUGAAUUCUUUUAAAGUAAAAAUUAACUAAUGUGGAAAAGAUUUCACUGUUUGAGUGUAGCAGUAAUUGUUGGUAAAAUUCCAUGUAAGAGAACACUGGUACACAAGACAAACCAUCAAAUUUGUGAUUUUUUUUUUGGGGAAAACCAUAUUAUAUGAUAAAUUAAAAUUUUGAAUAGUUUUUGUUUACUGACCUGGGAAUAAGUAUCCUGGGUUUUGCAAAAUAUGGAGGAUCUGUUUACCUUAUUGCUAAUGGGUACAGCAGAGAGUGGCUUUCAGUUAUUUUCAAAGUGAACUGAAGAGCCUAACUGCCCUCUUUGUUUAGGG
rnacentral:sRNA from 1 species